rnacentral:rRNA from 1 species
AUUGAACGCUGGCGGUAGGCCUAACACAUGCAAGUCGAACGGCAGCACAGGAGAGCUUGCUCUCUGGGUGGCGAGUGGCGGACGGGUGAGGAAUACAUCGGAAUCUACUCUGUCGUGGGGGAUAACGUAGGGAAACUUACGCUAAUACCGCAUACGACCUACGGGUGAAAGCAGGGGCUCUUCGGACCUUGCGCGAUGGAAUGAGCCGAUGUCGGAUUAGCUAGUUGGCGGGGUAAAGGCCCACCAAGGCGACGAUCCGUAGCUGGUCUGAGAGGAUGAUCAGCCACACUGGAACUGAGACACGGUCCAGACUCCUACGGGAGGCAGCAGUGGGGAGUAUUGGACAAUGGGCGCAAGCCUGAUCCAGCCAUACCGCGUGGGUGAAGAAGGCCUUCGGGUUGUAAAGCCCUUUUGUUGGGAAAGAAAUCCAGCUGGCUAAUACCCGGUUGGGAUGACGGUACCCAAAGAAUAAGCACCGGCUAACUUCGUGCCAGCCGCCGCGGUAACAC